rnacentral:rRNA from 1 species
AUUGAACGCUGUCGGCAUGCCUUACACAUGCAAGUCGAACGGCAGCACGGGAGCAAUCCUGGUGGCGAGUGGCGAACGGGUGAGUAAUACAUCGGAACGUGCCCAAUCGUGGGGGAUAACGCAGCGAAAGCUGUGCUAAUACCGCAUGAGAUCUACGGAUGAAAGCAGGGGACCGCGAGGCCUUGCGCGAAUGGAGCGGC